GCUGUAUGCGUGUGUGGACGAUACCCAGUGAAGGCGAGUGAAGAGAUGAUCUCCAGAACCAUCUUUCUUCAGGGAGCCAGCAAAACAGAUACAACAGAAGAGCAAUGACUCUCAGAAGGAAGAUGGUUAUUGUAGGAAGCCAGCUCUGUCUCUGUCUCCGCCACCUCGCUGAAGGACUGGGAGGCCGACGUUUCCGACGGACGCUGGAGGCCAAAUGUCCCCAAUCAUGACACUGGCAUACUCAGUAUCUGAUGAAGGCAAGCUCCCUGGGUCAAGGACAGCCGUCUUCUCCUGGUGUCCUCGCAUGGAAGAAGGUACGAGGGAGCUCUCUGGGGUCUCCUUGAGAAGGGUGCCAAUGCCAUUGACUAGGGUGCGAUCCCCACAUAGUCAUCUCCCAGAGAACCUCGUCUCUAACACUAGGGCUUACAGUUUCAACACAUGAAUGGGGUCAGGCCAGGUGGCAAUAACACUUAGAGAUGGGAUUUGAAAAACCAAUCCUAUGAGUUAUGCCGUUACCGUGCUAGUAGGCGUAGACACACUAUGAGACAGCAUGGAGACUUGAUGUAAGCACGACGGGGGGGUGGGGGGGGUGAACCUCGGUCUGUGUUACAUGAAUCACCCCCCCAAAGGUAAGGACCAGGAAAGUUCCAAGGUCAGGAUGAAAUCGGUGAACUCAGACAAAGGAGAUUGGCUCCAUCCCUUUUGGUGUUUCAGAUGAUAAGGAACACGGGAAGGCAUUCAUCCAGAAAAAGUGUUAUGAACACCCAUUCGUGAGAAGCAAAUUGUUGAGGGUUAUUGGCUCCUUAAAAUAACAGAUACAAAGGUAGUCAUAGAGAAAAGGAUUUAAAAACUGUGUGGUUGAUUGCCGGGGAAAAUGCCACUUAGCGUUUUUUCCUCAGCAUGAAAACGGAACAGCUAUUGUCAACCGUGAGUACUCUUUCACUCACCAUUCGCUUGGCCGUUUUACCAUGAGUAUUUGUCAAGCAGUUACUGUGUACCAAGGAGGAAGCAUUGGGGAGAAGAGAGGGAGUAAAACCAAAAAUCCAAACAAACGUUCCAUUUUCUGCAUCAUGGAAUGUAUAGCCUCUUGGUCAAUCAAAGGUUAAGCAAAUGAUUUUUAAAAUGUGAAUUAUGUAUCCAUUCUGUGACAAGAUGGGGUAAU